AAUGAGUAAUGUAGCGGUGAAAUGCUUAGAUAUUACUCAGAACCCCGAUUGCGAAGGCAGCUUACUAAACUGAUAUUGACGCUGAGGCACGAAAGCGUGGGGAGCGAACAGGAUUAGAUACCCUGGUAGUCCACGCCGUAAACGAUGAUCACUCGUUGUUGGCAAUACACCGUCAGCGACUGAGCGUAAGCAUUAAGUGAUCCACCUGGGGAGUACGAUCGCAAGAUGGAAACUCAAAGGAAUUGACGGGGGCCCGCACAAGCGGAGGAACAUGUGCUCUAAUUCGAUGAUACGCGAGGAACCUGACCUGGGCUUAAAUGUAGAGCGACGGACCGGGAAACUGGUCUUUCUUCGGACGAUCUACAAGGUGCUGCAUGGCUAUCGUCAGCUCGUACCGUGAGGUGUCGGGUUAAGUCCCAUAACGAGCGCUACCCUCAUCAUUAGUUGCCAGCGGGUAAUGCCGGGGACUCUAAUGAAACUGCCGGUGUAAACCGAGAGGAAGGUGGGGAUGACGUCAAGUCAGCACGGCCCUUAUGUCCAGGGCUACACACGUGUUACAAUGGUCAGUACAAAGGGCAGCUACCAUGCGAAUGGAUGCUAAUCUCGAAAACUGGUCUCAGUUCGGAUCGGAGUCUGCAACUCGACUUCGUGAAGUUGGAUUCGCUAGUAAUCGCGCAUCACCCACGGCGCGGUGAAUACGUUCCCGGGCCUUGUACACACCGCCCGU
rnacentral:rRNA from 1 species